GGGGAUUUGGCUCAGUGGUAGAGCACUUGCCUAGCAAGCACAAGGUCCUGGGUUCGGUGCCCAGCUCCG
rfam:Rattus norvegicus chromosome 6, whole genome shotgun sequence.